rnacentral:rRNA from 1 species
GUUAGGAAUAUUGGACAAUGGGCGAAAGCCUGAUCCAGCCAUGCCGCGUGAACGAUGAAGGCCUUCGGGUUGUAAAGUUCUUUAGCCGAUGAUUAUAAUGACUGUAGUCGGAAAAUAAGCCCCGGCUAACUUCGUGCCAGCAGCCGCGGUAAUACGAAGGGGGCGAGCGUUAUUCGGAAUCACUGGGCGUAAAGCGUGCGUAGGCGCUUUUGUAAGUUAGGAGUGAAAGCCCAGGGCUCAACCUUGGAAUUGCUCUUAAAACUGCAAGGCUCGAAUCUCGGAGAGGAUAGCGGAAUUUCCAGUGUAGCAGUGAAAUGCGUAGAUAUUGGAAGGAACACCAGUGGCGUAAGCGGCUAUCUGGACGAGUAUUGACGCUGAGGCACGAAAGCGUGGGGAUCAAACAGGAUUAGAUACCCGGGUAGUCC